GAUGAACGCUGGCGGCGUGCCUAAUACAUGCAAGUCGAGCGAACAGACGAGGAGCUUGCUCCUUCGACGUUAGCGGCGGACGGGUGAGUAACACGUGGAUAACCUACCUAUAAGACUGGGAUAACUUCGGGAAACCGGAGCUAAUACCGGAUAAUAUUUCGAACCGCAUGGUUCAAUAGUGAAAGAUGGCUUUGCUGUCACUUAUAGAUGGACCUGCGCCGUAUUAGCUAGUUGGUAAGGUAACGGCUUACCAAGGCAACGAUACGUAGCCGACCUGAGAGGGUGAUCGGCCACACUGGAACUGAGACACGGUCCAGACUCCUACGGGAGGCAGCAGUAGGGAAUCUUCCGCAAUGGGCGAAAGCCUGACGGAGCAACGCCGCGUGAGUGAUGAAGGUCUUCGGAUCGUAAAACUCUGUUAUUAGGGAAGAACAAACGUGUAAGUAACUGUGCACGUCUUGACGGUACCUAAUCAGAAAGCCACGGCUAACUACGUG
rnacentral:rRNA from 1 species